rnacentral:lncRNA from 1 species
AGUUGGUUAAUAGCCACUAAGGAUGUAGACUUAGCGAUCUCAACUCCUCCCUCACUACUUCAACCCAGAAGAUGCCAACAUAUUCAGCCAAAUAUGUCCAACAUGGCAGCUAGAGCUUGCUGAGCUUGCUUACCUGAGAGUUCUUGUUCACAGAUAAAUAAGGAGCAGAUCUCUUUCCAACCUCUAAUGAAGCUAGCCCAGUAAGACACCUUAAGGCCUGGAAGUCAAUUACUUUAGCUUGGAAGCUAGCCGACCUUCAAAUUCUGAGGUUUAAGAAAGGUUUUAUAUAAAAAUGAUUACAAUUCUAUACUAAAUUUCCAAAUAAGAUUGACCAUAGAUUUAGGGUGAAGGAACCCAGAAGACAUCUAGUCCAACCUAUGCAUUUUACAGAAAUGGAAAAUCUAAAACCCAGGGACUUGCCCAGAGACCCAAAGGGAGUAAGUCAGAAGCAGCCUCCGAACCAUCUGCCUCUAGAGAUAGCGAAUGCUCUUUCCACUACGGCAUGA